rnacentral:lncRNA from 1 species
CAAGGAACCGAGACAGCCUCUAGUUACUGAGAGCAGUCCUCAGUCAAUAGCCAACAAGAAAAUGGGGACUUUUCCUGAAAAGAGGACAAAGUUCCAGAAGAGAAUGCAUGCAGUGGACACUAUGAUUUCAGCCUGAGCGGAGAACCCAGCCACACCUAGCCAGACUUCUGACCUAAGGAACUGUUCCAGAGUGGGUCUCAGGCGUAUUCGAGCUUGGAGCAAUUUGUCCAGGACUUAUUUCUUGGUGAGAGUCCGCCCCCUGACGUUUGACAAAGGUAAGUACAACACAGUCCCACUGCCUUCUUAACAAAAGGCAAACUGUCUUUCCAUUUAAGAAUCAUUUGGAAGGAAAUAGAUUUGGGGCUUUUACUGAAAUCUUCAUCAGUUUGAGAAAAUUCUAGAUGCUACAGAAUGACUAUCCCUCAGCCCCUUUAUUUGUUCUGGAAGCAUCAGAAAAACUUGGAGAAAAUUAAUCUUUCUAAAAUAGCUAGUUACAGAUGUGGAAGAGCAUAUCCGAUAUAAGGCCAGGUAAAGGCUACACGAUUCCAUUCUGUAUAUUCAGCGUGAAACUUUCCAACAGCGAACUCUCUUUCUCUGAGCGCCUGUUAUAUUCAUACAUCAAUGAUGUUCAUGUUUCCCACUGGAAUGGGCAAGUUGGGGUCUUUUAUCUUCCUUGACUCAGCGGUGUUGAACCCAAUAGCUAUCCUUGAAAUCCGUCUUGAAAUGCUUUUCUCAGCUUGUGGGACGUCACAUUCUCCUCGUUUCCCUCCUGCUUCACAGGCUGCUUCUUCUCAUUCCUGUUACUGGAUCCUCCUCUUCUGUAUACCUCUAGAUGAUGGGGUGCCCAGGCUCACUGCUUGGGCCUCCUCAUUUCUUUCCCUGUACACACUGGGGGAUCCCAUCUGGUCCCGUGGCUUUAAGCACAAUCUCUAGGCUAACGACCCUAGAGCAUAUCUCUAGUCCAGAUCUACCCUUGAACGAUAGAUUAGUACACCCAGUGGCCUACUUGACAUCUCAAAUUGGAGGUCUCACAGGCAUCUCAAAGACCUGAAGCAGCUGACUAAAUCCACGUAAGCUUGGAGAGCACUGUGGCCUCUGAGUUCAAGCAGAUGAAUCAAAGGGACUUCCAACUUUAGGGUACCCCAUGCUUUCUCCAAUUUACACAAACACACAUAUUUAUUUAUAUAUAACCACAGUUACAUCAAUAUGAUUUCAAGAGUUAAAUAAUUAUAAAUCCCUGCUUCUCAGAGAUGAUCUCUUUU